UCUCUCCAUUUGCCCACAAGAUUGCCACAUCUCCUUCUCCUGAGAGCUUGGCCCACCAUCAAGCCUCCGUCCCACCCCCUCGAGCCCCAGUCUACAGGGCUGGUAUUCAUUACUGUCUGGUCAAGAUCUGAUUCAGCCACGUUGCUUCCCAGACAGCCCAGCAGGCAGACAGCUAAUGCCCCGGGUGACCCAGGCCUGACUGACUGGUUGGUCAAGUCAGAUGGCCAUGCCUCUAACAGGAACCGCUGGGUGGACUUCAGCCUCAGUAGGCCGAAACUGCAGCAGGACCCACGGCCGAGUCCCCUGACGUGCCCUGACUCACCAGGUGAUACGGAGACCAGUGGUGCUCCUCUGGCAGCAGACCCCAGGAGGCAGGUGUGAGAGCCAGCAAGGCACCUGCGUUCAGGCUGGUGGAAGCGUUGAGGGGACGGGGUCCUCCGCCUUCUCUCUGUACACAUUCCUGCCUCUCCCUCUGGUGGUCCCCAGGCAGCUUGCUCCACCUGCUCCCAUCCUCCCCGGCAGCGGAAAUUCUUUGUCUCCCAGGGAAUGAACCUGGGGCUUUGCAGUUGCACGUGCUAGGUGAGCACUCUCCUGCUGCACUACAUCCCCAGCCCUUUUUAGUAAUUUUUAAUAUCAAGAUGGUCUUCUUGCUAAGUUGCCAAGGCUGGCCUCAAACUUGAGAUCCUCCUGCCUCAGUCUCCCCAGUCACUGGAAUUACAGGUGUGUGCCACUGCACCCAACUCGGUAGAGACUCUUUUUUAAAACAAAGCAUGGAUGUCUGCCACAGAGAAGAAGAGGGCAUCCUACCCAUCUUCCUAGACCAGCCGAGAACUCCUCCCUGACAGUUUGCUCCCUGGUACCCAUGGACUCCAGCUCACAGGUGCCACAGCCCCGAGAUCUAAAGUGCAUCUUUGAAGCGGGAUCCUGAGAUCACUAAGGGCUGAGCACCCAUCAGGAGAACCAGGCGCCUGGCAUCCCAUUGGUGCUCAGCAGGAUCUCAGCAACGGACUGACUCUUUAGUCCCUUCUGUCCCUCCACACUGGCUCCUACUCCCUGUGACCUGGUGCUUCAGGGAGGUGGCCCAGCUAGGAGCCCCCAGAAUUCCUGUCUAGGACUCAGCCCCACACCGGGCUUCACAGGCACCAGGCUUCCUGGAGUGUGGCGCCAGCCUCGGGGCUGAUUUAGCCACUGAUCCAACAAGGGGGUGCCCGUGACUUCUUCCUGCCAGUUACCGGCUGCUGCUCCUUUACCCUCAGGAACCAACUUCUGUUCAGAGUCAGCAACUUGGGACAAAGAAAAGGGGUGACCUCAUGUGAUGGCCACAGUCAUGAAUGGGAAGAUGUGUGUUCUACUUCUCCUUCAGGAGAACAUUUUUCUCCCCAGGGAGGGAGGCCGCCAGUCGCAGUGUGGGCUCCUCCACAUCAGCGGAGUGUAGCCUGGAUGGGUUUCCAGACAGCCACCCUGUGCAGCAGAAAGAACACUGGACUGGGACGCGCUGGCCGUCCUGUCUGAACUCCCCGAUCUGGGGCAGAGAGACCCAGUGAGUCUGGGCUUUGCAUCACCAACCCUCUCAACACCACUGACAAAUCAUUCCUCUUCUCUGAACCUCAAUUUCAAGAGUGUGCACCCAAGAAUCUUCACAGCUUUAUGACCUGCAGAAGCCCACGUGCUCCGAGGAGUCCUGAGGAGUAGCAUUGUCCUAAGAUCCCACUGAGGGGCACAUUCCAGCAAGCAUCUCUCUCCCGGGCUCCCGGAGGGACCCUGCAGUGCUGAGAUAAAGCUUUGAAGUCAGGCAGGUCCUCUGACUCCUAUAGUACAUUGUGCAACUUCCUGAUGAUUGUUUUACAAGUAAGAAGACCUAAGGCCUCAGAAGGAAAGGAGAGCAGCUGAGGUCUGGGCGGAGGCCUGGGCCUUCUGUCUCACAACUCUGUGCCCCCGCCCCGCUCCCCAAAGGACUUGCCCUGAAGGGUCAAUGAUCAGAAGAGGGGCCAAAGCACUGGAAAGAAUGUUCCCCUCUCAAGGGCUGAAAUGCAAGCUGCCAUGCCUCACUUCGACCUGCCUAGGAGGCCAGUUCCUCUGCCCAGGGGGAUGUAUGGAUGUGCUGCAGAUACAUGUGUCUUCAGGAGGGUUGCAGGCUGCAACCACAUGGCCCCAGAGGGAAGCUGGGUGGCGGCUGGGGCUGCAGCUGGUCUUGUGCCUUUCAUCUCCAGAUGCCUAGGCCUCCCUCCCCACAUGGUGCCCAGAAGGCAUGGGGGGCUUCCCCUGCUGGAAGCUCACCACAGUACUGACAGCGGGGGACUUCGCCUCCCAGAGCCCUUGAAGCUUGAAGAUGUCAGUUGUCACAGCUCCGCCCCCCCACCUUCUAUACCCCUCACAGCCUUUUAAGGUGAUAACUGGGAAUAGGAAAUGGAGAGCAUGGGGGGAGGGCAGAGAGGCGUGGGAGCAAAUGGAGCCCUCUCCGCUGGCCACUGGGGGACACGCUCAGGUUACUGAGUGUGUCUGUGCAGAUCGGUUUCCACAUCAGGGCUGUUGGCCUGAAGGAGAGUCCUCUUUUCUAGUUGCAAUGAAGACCAUGCCUCUGCAGGUCUGGAUCUUCCAGGAGAGGCACUGUUUCUAACACGCACAUAGAUACUCAGGUGCCCCUGCAGGUCCUGAGACUGCCUAGGGGGUCUCCAUUCCUAGGCAGAACUGCGUGGACAGAAGGCCUCAGAAGGUGUAGAAUAACAGCUGGAGCUCAAUUCACAAACUCAUUCCCUCCCCGUGCCCGAGCGUCCCUUUUCCAACCACCCCACCUGGAUGGUGACCACUGGCAGUUCCAGCCAGGAGCCUGAGUACUGGACCAGUCAGCAUGGUGCAUGGGAGCCCACAGAGGCAUCUUGAUAAGCCAGAGUGGGCAGUGACCUUUGAUCCACAGAUCCCUGUGGAUGACUUCCUCCAGAGAAGGGGAAAGGUGGCCCGGAGCCCAGCCCCGCCAGAGACACCCUGAAUCUCCAGGCUUUAAAGCUCCAUGGGCCAGUGUGAUCUGGAGGUCAGGCUGAAACAGGCCAAAGUCCAGCACGCUCUGGGCUCAGCCAGGUCUCCCCUUGGGAUCUCAGUCCCUGAUUCUCCUAAUGUCAUGGGAGAGUGAGGUCUCAGUCUCUAUCCUUCCUGCCUUCUCACCAAUCUCUCUCUCUCUCUCUCUCUCUCUCUCUCUCUCUCUCUCUCUCUCUCUCUCACACACACACACACACACACACACAUGUCACUACGGGGGACCAUCUGUGAGACCUGGAACCUGGUCCACUUGUGGCUCUGACACACUGUGAUCUGUACCGGAAGCUUCCUUAGAAUGGGCAUGUGUACAUCAGGCGCUGCGAGGCAGGUGAUCCCGGGGCUGUCUGGCUGUAUCUUCCCUCUCCCUCUUUCUUCAAUUCCUCCUUCUCACCAGGAGCAGAUGCUGGGGGAGAGAAGAGUUAAUGCCUGAACAAAUGAGCAGAUGGAGUGCAGGGUCUCCCUCCACCCCGAUUUCCAACCCCCUAAUCCCCUUCCCAUCCCCAUCUCAGGGCCUGGCUCUGGGGCAGAGCCCAGGUGUUUUUCAUUAAGGGUUUGUUUUAUUGCAGAUUCUCAGGAUCUGGGGGAGGAAUGCUGGGAGAAUUACCUAAUCCUCCACCCCACCCCCAGCCUUUUAAGGGGUGUUUGAUAAGCCCCCACACAUCAGGAGUCAAGUUACCACCAGGGGUCUGUCCUCUCCCACUACCCAAACCCUUCCUGGGAAGCUUUGCACCCUCUCAGGAGGUCAACCAGGGCCUUCCACCUACCCUUCCUCCUGCAAGAGCCGGAGCAUCCUAAGGAACAAAGUUAAUUAUCUCCCACUCUUACUUUAAAAUCCACCAAAGACAGCCCACUCUCUCCCACUGUCUUUUAACAAUGGGUUCGGAUUUGUAGCAACUGCCAAUUUCUAUGGUGUAAAGAUUCCCUCCCUCCACGGGCAAUUUCAAGCCACCAAUAGGAGGUCACUGAACUCAAGUCCAUCAUCAGCUCUCACGGCCAGCUGGAGCUGGUGUCAGCAUACCAUCACCUCUUCCCCUUUACCCUUGACCUAGAAUGCAAAGCCCUCCUUUACUGGCCUCAGGUGUCCUUCCAGACUCACUCUUCGUGCUUUCCCACCCCGUACAGACACUGCACACUGGGUGUCCUGGGGUUCCCUGAGUACACCUCGACCUUGCCAAGAGCACACCUCUCGUUCUGCCAGCCGGCCCCUUGGAGAAUCCCCUCUUCAGCUGCCUCCUCCGGGCAGACUUCUCUAACUUCCCAAGCUAGAUGAGAUCCCCUUCAUCUGUGUCCUCACAAUCCUGCCCUUGGACUUCUGUAUUGUUUAAUAACAUCUGUGUGUCAUUGCCACACAACUGCAGGGUUGUCAAAGGCCAGAAUGUGCCCUGGUUUGUCUCUGUGUUUCAGAUCCUAACCCACAAAUGGCUCAGUGACUGUGCUGAAGGAGGGGCAUUCAGGUAGGGUAUGCUCAGGGUGCAGAGCCCCAGGGGAAGAGCUCCCUCAGGAACCAGGGCCAUUCGCUUUAAUUUCCCAGCAGAGGCCAGCAUCACAUUCUUGGCCAGCUUCUUGAGGCUACAGGACGGACAGAGAACACUACCAAUACUCACCCCAUCACUGGAGUGGGCAAGGCCUCCACCUUCUGGAUCUGAGAUAUACCAAAUGACACCCUCUGCCUGCCCCCUGGCACACAGGGCCUCAGAGCUAUCUGGGGCAAGGCAGAAGUGAGCCACUGCGCCCCCCCCCCCCCCCCGGGCCUUGUGUGCUUGUGACCACAGUUCCCUGCAGGCACAUUGUCAUUUUUGACAAUACCACCAGGCAUUUUGGAAGGCUACCCUUCCCCAUGCCUGGUAUAGCCUUAGGGAUCAUGGGGGCAGUCUCAGCCUGGAAGAUCCACACCUGUCCAGGAAGCCUCUAUGCACAGUGAGUGGGGAAGACCUGGGUCUGCACCUUGGCUCAGCAGCUAGGACGUAACAGGCUGUGUCUCACUUUCCUCAUCUUGCAAAUGGGGCAGUAACACUCACAUUUUAGGGUUACGUGACCCUAAGUGUAGCAGCUACUGUAUAUGGAGUAUUUGCAAGGUGCCCACAGGAAAAUGCUAAGCACUUUACAAACAUUACCUUAUUUAAUGCCCUCACCACUCUAAUUACGAGGUCAGAGCUGUUAGCCCUCUUUCACAAAUGAGAAAACCAGAUUCUGAGGAGUUUAUGGUUGGACAGCAAGUAUCGUAGGGUCUAAUUCCAAAGCUCCUGUUCCUACCACUAUGUCCCUCUGCAUCCUAAAAUUGGAGGGUAGUGCAAUAUAGGGUCUGGCAUGUGCUAGGGAUGUAAGAAAUGGUGGCUCUUAUUCAUAAUUAUCCAGAAUCCUGCUGGGUGGCAAUUAGCAGGAGACUGUAUUUUCUUCAUCUCUUUCAAAGUCUCAUCUGAAUCGGAAGGUAGGCGUCAGCAUUCCUGGUUGUUAAAUAAGGAAACUGAGACCCAAGGGGUGGAGGCUUUGCUGCGGUCCCUCAACUAGAGGGGGCAGACACCAGGUCUGGACAGAGGAUGCCCUGAGCUCAGGAGAAAUGCCCUCUGGCUGUGGGCACAGGUGAGGACGGGGGAGGGAAAGCAGGCCUGAGGAGGGAGUUCUGCAUGCCAGUCACUUCUCUGGUCCCCACCAUGAGCCACGUAAGUGCACCCUGUGGUGCUGACGAUCCAGCCCUGCCACCUUGAACAGAACAUUUCCCCUCCAGACCUGCUUCCUCCUCUGUAGCCUGGGAAUGAGACCUCCACCCUACACAGCCCCAGAGUGACUGUGAGAAUACAAUGAGUUUGAGCCCUUGGGGUGGAAGUCCUUCUCGGAGGGGUGUCCAUGAGCCCUGAGUCGCCAGCCUUGUGUUAGACUGUAGUUGAAAGCCACGUCUCAGGACGUCUAAGCUCUCCUCUGGAAAGUCGUGACUGCGCCAUCACUUUAUGCACAAAGCAUGGCCAGGUCCUGUGAGGGUAGGCCUGCUUUGUGUCAGGAUUCUUAGGCCCGGAAGCUGCUUGUCCAUCACCCUGAGGAAUGUUUCUAAUUGGGUUCAAGUGGUAGCACAUGUGGAGUGGCAAAACCCCUUCAUUAAAAGAGAAAAAUGGAUGAAUGUUUUAUAUAAAGAACAGCGAGAACCUGAGGGACAGAGAAAAGCAGCUGAUAAAAUUCUUCCUCCCAAAGACUCUGACCAGGCAGCCAUCAGCUGGAAUCUGGACACACUCACGUCACUUGUUUUGUCCUGGCUCAGAAGUCGCUGGGCUGGACCCACAGGGGAGGCUCAGGCUACGUCUGCACCAGGGACCUAGGGCCCAAUGUGGAUCCUCUUCCCUGGCCCUCAUGCUUCAGGGACAACGUAUCAGGAAAGUGGGUCUACGUCAUCAAAGUCCCCGGGGCCUGGUUCUCAGUAGGUCUGGUUACCUUCUACGCAAGAAUCAUGGAAGAUACGAGAAGUCAUUUAUCUAGUGCCAUAUCCUACAAAUGGGGGACACUGAGGACCAGAGGGAGAGAGCCCUAGAAAGUGGAUGACCGUGCUGGGCUCCUGACCGCUCCCAGUCCUCGUGCUGUCACAGGUUCAACAACAAGGUCCAUCAUUUUUGACCCUGCUGUCCUUGCUGUCCAACCAUAAACUCCUCAGAGUCUAGGAGACCAGUCACCAUCCCAUGACGCCUUGGGAGAUCACAUAGCUGAUAAAUGGUAGAACCAGGAUCUGACACCCAAGUACCCAACUCCAGGGUCUUCCUCUGACCAGCAUGCUAUCCUGGCCAGGAGCCCCGUCCUGCACCACACCUGGUGUCCCUCCAUAAUGGAGCCUAUUCCCUCCUGCUCUUCUCACCCUGCCUUUUGGAUUCCAAAUCAGGAUUUGCACUUGAACAAAGGGAGUGUUUUGGUUCAGGAAUCUAGAAGUAAGGCCGUCCUCUGAGUGAUUACAAAUAAAGUCACCACAUCCAUACCACAGAACACUAAGAAUGACAUCAGGGAACCAACUCCUGAUGUUCACAGCUUAGAUGAGCUCAGAUGCCAUCUCCUAAGCAAAGGAUCCAAACUCAAAAGGCUCCAGGGGUUCCAUUCACAGGACACCUGGAAAAGGAGAGACUGUGGGGACAGAGAGCUCUGGCGAUGGGGGAGGGGUUGAUGACCAAGGGCACAGGGAAGAUUUUGGAGGUGAUAAAAUGAUGGUGUGUAUUUGUAAAUAAAUGAUAUAUCAACAAG